AGCCUGGUGGUGCAACUGGUAGACACAAUAGGUUUAAGCCCUAUGGGUUGGGGGUUCAAAUCCCCCUCAGGUUA
rnacentral:tRNA from 1 species